UCUUGGACUGUGUUCUGACAAGAGCUGACUGAGGAGAGCACAGCCAAGAGCAGGGCUUGGAGAGAUGGUUCUUCUUUACUCAUCCAAGCCCUAGAAGCUCAAACCAGAAGAAGCUCUUGGGAUCAUCAAACCCAGCCUCCGUGCAAAAGAACAACUUAAUUGGCUCCAAAAAUAGUCCAUUACAGAAAAAACAACAAAGAAAAGUCAAUAAAUUUUUGCAUAUAAAAAGGCCCGGAAUCUUAUAAAUACAUUAUAAAUAUUUCCCAAUUAUAUGUCUAUCUAAAGGACUUUUUAAAUUGCUUCUUUGUUGAAAAGGCCCUGUGGUAUGGAUGUAUCAUGUCCUGUGACUACAGGAUGAGGAGCACAUCUCCCUCCCUGGUCAAGUUUUCUUCACAACUACAUUCACUGCUCAUUUCCUUGGUUCCCGGCAGGAGGACAGCUGUGUCAGUGCAGCGUGGACAGAGCUGGGUUGCUCACAUGACAGCCUCAGAGUCCCUCCCCAGGACAACACUCUAUGGAAGGACCAGACCCUCAGCUCUCCUGGAUCUGCAGGACGCCACAACCAAGCACUGAUGCCAGAGGCUCAGAAGACAGACGGAGCCUUGGGGGCUCACUGGAGUCACUGUUCCGCACAGGCAGGAAACACUGCUCACAUCUCCACAUAUGCAAAGCAGAAAGCCAGUGGCUCCGGAGCCUUCCCAGCACAGUGUCUGGGGUCCUUAGUUUUCAUUGUUCAGUUGACACAACCAAGAGCUUCCCAGGAAAAGCAUCUCAGGGGAAACUAUUGAGAUCAGGCUGGCCUGUGAGCAUGCCUGUGAGCAUGCUUGUGAGGGAUUUUCUUAAUUGGGCUAAUUGAUGAGGGAAGACCCAGCCCACAGUGGGCAACACCAUUUCCUGAAUUCGGGUCUUGAACUGCAUGAGAGUAAAGAAAUCAAGCUGAGCACAGGCAUGCAUGCAUUCAUCUCUGUGCUUGACAGUGUGUGUGACAUAACCAGCUACUUCCAGUUCCCGUCCUCAACUUCUCUACAAAGACAGACUGAACCAGGAACUGUAAGCUGAAUAAACUCUUUCUCCCCUAA